CUCAUUUUUCCCGGGCUUUCGGUCGGCGUUUUCCUUUUCUCGCGGGUUUGGGCGCGCAUCGAACUCUGAAGGGUCGGGAAGGCCUGUCGUUGGAAUGUGGUUGAGUUCCAGGGAGUGUACAGGCUGGAGGAUGGGACAAGACCUAUCUCUGUAUCGAUCAAGCACGGCGUUGGUGUUCCAGCUCAUCACCAAUCCUAAGGAAUUCAAGUGCCUCCCAGGAUGAAUACAGGUUGUCUUGAUGGUGAUACAUUCAUCUGUCUUAAGAUCCCUGCUGAUCUGCUCAUGGUCAAACUCAUGGAAAGAGUUGAGAGUGGGGCACCUUGUUCCUGCAUCCUCAAAGGAGCAUCUUGUUCCUCUAUUUAAGCUUCCAGAGUUAAAAGGUACCUGUACCAUUUAGCGGCUUGUUCACUCAAAGAUCCAUCUUUUCUGGAGCCUGAGGAUGAUUGGAGGUGAAAGGUGUAAGCCAUACUCUGCUCAACUCCAGUCUGAAACUAAGGUUUAAAGAAAGAACAUGUACUUAACACACGGGAAUCCAACUCUUGGAGGACAUCAGAAGUGGAAUUUUCUUAUACAACCUACCUAUUCAAAUUAGCAUAUAAUCUUUCUAGCCUUUCUAAAUAAAUAAAGGGAUUUUUUUGU
rnacentral:lncRNA from 1 species